UUUUUCCGGCAUCGUGGUGGAAGGUGUAUGACCGUCAUCCCCUCACACGCCUCUUCUCCAGGCAAUGGAGGAUGCAUGUGGUGAAGUUGAUGUGGGGGCUUUUGGUGGCUUGUGAUGAUGUAGAUGAGGUGCUGUUUAGCCAGGGAGAACAUGGCUUGUGAUGUGGAUGAGGUGCUGUUUAGCCAGGGAGAACAUGGCUUGUGAUGUAGAUGAGGUGCUGUUUAGCCAGGGAGAACAUGGCUUGUGAUGUAGAUGAGGUGCUGUUUAGCCAGGGAGAACAUGGCUUGUGAUGUAGAUGAGGUGCUGUUUAGCCAGGGAGAACAUGGCUUGUGAUGUGGAUGAGGUGCUGUUUAGCCAGGGAGAACAUGGCUUGUGAUGUAGAUGAGGUGCUGUUUAGCCAGGGAGAACAUGGCUUGUGAUGUAGAUGAGGUGCUGUUUAGCCAGGGAGAACAUGGCUUGUGAUGUAGAUGAGGUGCUGUUUAGCCAGGGAGAACAUGGCUUGUGAUGUGGAUGAGGUGCUGUUUAGCCAGGGAGAACAUGGCUUGUGAUGUAGAUGAGGUGCUGUUUAGCCAGGGAGAACAUGGCUUGUGAUGUGGAUGAGGUGCUGUUUAGCCAGGGAGAACAUGGCUUGUGAUGUAGAUGAGGUGCUGUUUAGCCAGGGAGAACAUGGCUUGUGAUGUAGAUGAGGUGCUGUUUAGCCAGGGAUAACAUGGCUUGUGCUGUGGCCAGACCCAAAUAGGAGGCAGGAUGCAACCUAAUGCCUUUUUAUUCUUUUAAACAUUUUUGCGUUUUUGUCUUUGUUUUUAGAGUUUUGAAAGAAUGAGCCACUUUCAUUUUUUAUUUUUGUACAGAAAACCCUUUAUCUUACUGAAUGUUUUUCCUGUUUUA